rnacentral:rRNA from 1 species
GAUGAACGCUAGCUACAGGCUCAACACAUGCAAGUCGAGGGGUAACGAGAGGAAAGCUUGCUUUCCUUGUCGACGACCGGCGCACGGGUGAGUAACGCGUAUCCAACCUGCCCCCAACUAGGGAAUAACCUUGCGAAAGUAAGACUAAUACCCUAUAAUUUCCUCAGAUGCCAUCUGACGAGGAAUAAAGAUUUAUCGGUUGUGGAUGGGGAUGCGUCUGAUUAGCUUGUUGGCGGGGUAACGGCCCACCAAGGCAACGAUCAGUAGGGGUUCUGAGAGGAAGGUACCCCACAUUGGAACUGAGACACGGUCCAAACUCCUACGGGAGGCAGCAGUGAGGAAUAUUGGUCAAUGGGCGGAAGCCUGAACCAGCCAAGUAGCGUGCAGGAUGACGGCCCUAUGGGUUGUAAACUGCUUUUAUACAGGAAUAAAGUUAGCCACGUGUGGUUAUUUGUAGGUACUGUAUGAAUAAGGACCGGCUAAUUCCGUGCCAGCAGCCGCAGUAA